rnacentral:miRNA from 1 species
UUGGGACCUCACUCACUCACGC